rnacentral:rRNA from 1 species
GACGAACGCUGGCGGCGUGCUUAACACAUGCAAGUCGAACGGAAAGGCCCUGCUUUUGUGGGGUGCUCGAGUGGCGAACGGGUGAGUAACACGUGAGUAACCUGCCCUUGACUUUGGGACAACUUCAGGAAACUGGGGCUAAUACCGGAUAGGAGCUCCUGCUGCAUGGUGGGGGUUGGAAAGUUUCGGCGGUUGGGGAUGGACUCGCGGCUUAUCAGCUUGUUGGUGGGGUAGUGGCUUACCAAGGCUUUGACGGGUAGCCGGCCUGAGAGGGUGACCGGCGCCAUUGUGGGAGAGAAAUGGCCCCGAGACUCCCGGGGGGGGCAGGUGGGGAGAAUUGCGCACAGGGGGCAGGCCCGUGGCGGAAAAGCGGCGUGCGGGGGGUGGGCCUUUUGGGUUUAAAACCCUUUUGCGUGUGAGGAGGCGGGGGUGUGAGGGUAGGGGGAAAAAAAGCCCGGGAACACUGC